UACAGAGGUGCCAAGCGUUAGGCGGAAUCACUGGGCUUAAAGCGCGCGUAGGCGGAUGUUUAAGUGUCUUGUGAAAUCCCACGGCUCAACCGUGGAACUGCUGGGCAUACUGGACAUCUCGAGGCACUCAGGGGCGAGCGGAACAAGUGGUGGAGCGGUGAAAUGCGUAGAGAUCUGGAAGAACACCGAAGGCGAAGGCAGCGUUCUGGGAAGCAACUGACGCUCAUGUGCGAAAGCCAGGGGAGCGAACGGGG
rnacentral:rRNA from 1 species